rnacentral:rRNA from 1 species
GGGCGCAGGAAAUUUGAGAGGAGCUGUCCUUAGUACGAGAGGACCGGGAUGGACACACCGCUGGUGUACCAGUUGUUCCGCCAGGAGCAUCGCUGGGUAGCUAUGUGUGGCAGGGAUAAACGCUGAAAGCAUCUAAGCGUGAAGCCCCCCUCAAGAUGAGAUUUCCCAUUUCUUCGGAAAGUAAGAUCCCUGAAAGAUGAUCAGGUAGAUAGGUUUGGAGUGGAAGUGUAGCGAUACAUGGAGCGGACAAAUACUAAUCGAUCGAGGACUUAACCAAAA